AAUUAACUGCCACCGGGUAGUAGCGUAUAACGCUGGAGUUCAUAUCGUUAGAUCUUUGAAGAUAUGAAGUUCCGGCGAUUUUUUUGU
rnacentral:ncRNA from 1 species